AGGCACAAGCCUCAUCUAAUGUGACAGAAACUACAUCAUUUACAAGUUGCAUCACACUCAACAACUUAGCUGUAGGAUGUUU
rnacentral:lncRNA from 1 species